GUCUACAGCCUUAUCACCCUGACUGCAUGAUCUUGUCUGAUCUUGGAAGCUAAGCAGGACUGGGCCUGGCUGGUACAUGGAUGGGAGACCUUCUGUGUACUUCAACAUCUAUCCUCC
rnacentral:rRNA from 1 species